GUCCUUGUAGUACAACAAUUACCCUGGUCUUGUAAACCAAAAAUGAAGUAUCAAUCCUUCCUAGGACA
rnacentral:tRNA from 1 species